rnacentral:rRNA from 1 species
CUACGGGGGGCUGCAGUGGGGAAUAUUGGACAAUGGGCGCAAGCCUGAUCCAGCAAUGCCGCGUGUGUGAAGAAGGCCUGCGGGUUGUAAAGCACUUUCAAUUGGGAGGAAAAGCGGUCGGUUAAUACCCGGCCGACUUGACGUUACCUUUAGAAGAAGCACCGGCUAACUCCGUGCCAGCAGCCGCGGUAAUACGGAGGGUGCAAGCGUUAAUCGGAAUUACUGGGCGUAAAGCGCGCGUAGGUGGCUAGAUAAGUCGGAUGUGAAAGCCCUGGGCUCAACCUGGGAAUGGCAUUCGAUACUGUCUGGCUAGAGUCUGGUAGAGGGAAGUGGAAUUCCAGGUGUAGCGGUGAAAUGCGUAGAUAUCUGGAGGAACACCGGUGGCGAAGGCGACUUCCUGGACCAAGACUGACACUGAGGUGCGAAAGCGUGGGUAGCAAACAGGAUUAGAUACCCGUGUAGUC